rnacentral:lncRNA from 1 species
GCCUUGGGCUACCAGCUGCUCCGCCAGACCAUACAGUCUGUCUUCCCGGAAAUCAACAUUGUUGUCCCAGGUACAUGUGUUGUCAGCACAGACAGCAAACACUAUUUGAACCUCACCACUGGCAUCUACCUGUUCAACCCCCUCUACCUGCAGCCGCAGAGCUUCUGCACGUGAAUUCCACAGUUGGCAGUUACCGGUGAA